GAUGAACGCUGGCGGCGUGCCUAAUACAUGCAAGUCGAGCGAACAGACGAGGAGCUUGCUCCUUCGACGUUAGCGGCGGACGGGUGAGUAACACGUAGGUAACCUACCUAUAAGACUGGGAUAACUUCGGGAAACCGGAGCUAAUACCGGAUAAUAUUUCGAACCGCAUGGUUCGAUAGUGAAAGAUGGCUUUGCUAUCACUUAUAGAUGGACCUGCGCCGUAUUAGCUAGUUGGUAAGGUAACGGCUUACCAAGGCAACGAUACGUAGCCGACCUGAGAGGGUGAUCGGCCACACUGGAACUGAGACACGGUCCAGACUCCUACGGGAGGCAGCAGUAGGGAAUCUUCCGCAAUGGGCGAAAGCCUGACGGAGCAACGCCGCGUGAGUGAAGAAGGUCUUCGGAUCGUAAAACUCUGUUAUUAGGGAAGAACAAACGUGUAAGUAACUGUGCACGUCUUGACGGUACCUAAUCAGAAAGCCACGGCUAACUACGUG
rnacentral:rRNA from 1 species